rnacentral:rRNA from 1 species
GAUGAACGCUAGCUACAGGCUUAACACAUGCAAGUCGAGGGGAAACGGCAUCGAAAGCUUGCUUUUGAUGGGCGUCGACCGGCGCACGGGUGAGUAACGCGUAUCCAACCUGCCCAUCACUUGGGAAUAACCUUGCGAAAGUAAGACUAAUGCCCAAUGACAUCCCACGAAGGCAUCCGAAUGGGAUUAAAGAUUUAUCGGUGAUGGAUGGGGAUGCGUCUGAUUAGCUUGUUGGCGGGGUGACGGCCCACCAAGGCAACGAUCAGUAGGGGUUCUGAGAGGAAGGUCCCCCACAUUGGAACUGAGACACGGUCCAAACUCCUACGGGAGGCAGCAGUGAGGAAUAUUGGUCAAUGGGCGAGAGCCUGAACCAGCCAAGUAGCGUGCAGGAUGACGGCCCUAUGGGUUGUAAACUGCUUUUAUAAGGGAAUAAAGUGGGACACGUGUGACUUUUUGCAUGUACCUUAUGAAUAAGGACCGGCUAAUUCCGUG